rnacentral:rRNA from 1 species
UACGUAGGGUGCGAGCGUUGUCCGGAAUUAUUGGGCGUAAAGAGCUCGUAGGCGGUUUGUCGCGUCUGCUGUGAAAACCCGAGGCUCAACCUCGGGCCUGCAGUGGGUACGGGCAGACUAGAGUGCGGUAGGGGAGAAUGGAACUCCUGGUGUAGCGGUGGAAUGCGCAGAUAUCAGGAAGAACACCAGUGGCGAAGGCGGCCCGCUGGGCAGUGGCUGACGCUGAGGCGCGACAGCGUGGGGAGCAAACAGG